rnacentral:rRNA from 1 species
ACGUAGGGUGCGAGCGUUAAUCGGAAUUACUGGGCGUAAAGCGUGCGCAGGCGGUGAUGUAAGACAGAUGUGAAAUCCCCGGGCUCGACCUGGGAACUGCAUUUGUGACUGCAUCGCUGGAGUACGGCAGAGGGGGAUGGAAUUCCGCGUGUAGCAGUGAAAUGCGUAGACAUCAGUCGGAACACCGGUGGCGAAGGCGGCUUCUUGGGCCGUUCCUGACGCUGAUGCGCGAAAGCUGGGGGAGCGAACGGGA